UACGGAGGGGGCUAGCGUUGUUCGGAAUUACUGGGCGUAAAGGGCGCGUAGGCGGCCUUCUAAGUCAGACGUGAAAUCCCCAGGCUUAACUUGGGAACUGCGUCUGAUACUGGGAGGCUUGAGUGCGGGAGAGGGAUGUGGAAUUCCAGGUGUAGCGGUGAAAUGCGUAGAUAUCUGGAGGAACACCGGUGGCGAAGGCGGCAUCCUGGACCGACACUGACGCUGAGGCGCGAAAGCUAGGGGAGCAAACGGG
rnacentral:rRNA from 1 species